UACGUAGGGUCCGAGCGUUGUCCGGAGUUACUGGGCGUAAAGGGCGCGCAGGCGGCGGUGCUGGCCCGGCGUGAAAGCCCCCGGCUUAACCGGGGAGGGUCGUCGGGGACCGCACCGCUUGAGGGCGGUAGGGGCCGGUGGAAUGCCUGGUGUAGUGGUGAAAUGCGCAGAUAUCAGGAGGAACACCGGUGGCGAAGGCGGGUCUCUGGGCCGAUACUGACGCUGAGGAGCGAAAGCGUGGGGAGCGAACAGG
rnacentral:rRNA from 1 species